UACGAAGGGGGCUAGCGUUGCUCGGAAUCACUGGGCGUAAAGGGUGCGUAGGCGGGUCUUUAAAGUCAGGGGUGAAAUCCUGGAGCUCAACUCCAGAACUGCCUUUGAUACUGAGGAUCUUGAGUUCGGGAGAGGUGAGUGGAACUGCGAGUGUAGAGGUGAAAUUCGUAGAUAUUCGCAAGAACACCAGUGGCGAAGGCGGCUCACUGGCCCGAUACUGACGCUGAGGCACGAAAGCGUGGGGAGCAAACAGG
rnacentral:rRNA from 1 species